GCCCUGGGCCAUGAGAUGCUACUAAACUAUUCUUUCCACAGUUUAUCGGCUUGCUGUCAGUGAAUGUGCCUGUAACCCUUAGAAACCCUCAGCAGAGCACAGUUGAACCCUGACUGCAGACAGCGCUGACACACUGUUGCAAACCAACAGCACAGGAGACACCUACUAAGGUAAUGUAACUCACAGGAUGGACUACUGUAACAAACCCUCAGCUGUGAGGGGUAUUUGUCCUUUGCAGCCUCUAGGGGCAAACUAAAAUAUUCCCAUUUACUGACAGCAAGCCGAGAUCUUGAAGAGGGAUCGAUCAGCAUAUUAGAAAGCCAUUUCUUAUGUAAAUAAAAAAAAAAAAAAACUUUAUUGAAAACACGUUAACAGACAAAAGGACCCGGCUACGGAUGAGCUAUAGGACCCCAAAUACCAGCAGGAGAACGAAGACUAACCCUACAGAAGCGAUAAGUAGGUAACAAGCCGCCAUCCUGCCCUGUCACAGUACAGACCAGGCCGCACCAAUAUCUACCCGAAUCCUCCACAUCCCCCCAAAACCAAUAUCACCAUGGUAACAGCCCCCCUCUCCCGCCAGCUCAUGUAACCCCGUCAGUAGCGGGCACAAGAGCUGGCCGCCCCCGAUGCCCGCGGAUUCCCUCCCGGCCUCUCUCCCACCAGCCUCCGUCACUUACGUGAUUAGUAUAGACUAGAAGACCGGAAGCCGGCCGAAGAAUACUUUUAUACCCACCAAAUCUCGCGAGAGCUGAAACGAGCAUGCGCAAAGAGCUGAUGCUCUCCCGCUGAUGACGUCAUGCUGGUUACAGGGCCGUGCCCUUAUAUGGAUGGGUAUAAAUGGAGACGCCUCGGUCGGGGAGGGCCUCUUUGUUGACCACGCUGCAUGGAUGACGGACUCGUGUCAGGACCGGUUUUAUGUGUGAAAGAUGACCUUGAAGAAUGAGCACUGAUUGCCCAUCUACACUAUGGCUGGAGUGACCAACAUUGGGUGGGAAUUUUAAGGUGGAAAAAAAUGGGCACGCGCAAGGAUCUGAGCGACUUUGAUAGGGGCCAGAUUGUGAUGGCUAGACUGGGUCAGAGCAUCUCCAAAAUGGCAGGUCUUGUGGGGUGUUCCAGGUUUGCAGUGGUUAGUACCUACCAAAAGUGGUCCAAGGAAGGGGUGCCUGUGAACCAGUGACAGGGUCAUCGGCACCCGAGGCUAAUUGAUGAGUCUGGGGAGCAAAAGUUGUUUCAUCUGGUCCAGUCCCACAGAAGAGCUAUGGUGGCACAGAUUGCUGAAAAAGUAAAUGCAGACUGACAGAAAGGUGUUGGAGCACACGGUGCAUUGCAGCUUGCUGCGUAUGGGGCUACAUAGGUGUAGUGUUCAGUGCACACCCUGACUCAUGUCCACCUCUGAGUGCAGACAGUGGUCAAGUGUGCCUUAGGCCUGGAGCAGGGAGCAGUGGAGGAAGGCGGUGUGGCCUGGUGAAUUGCAGGGCCACAGCUCGUGACUACAAUGGUUGUCCAUUCCAAAAAAGUAAUCUACAGUGUUAGUGGGUUCAGUGUAUGCAGUAAGCAGCAGUGCUCCCUCUAGUGGUGGCAUGUAGCCAUAAUGUGGAGUGUUUUCUGGAAGUGCUUGGGUCAGUCAGGCUAGAGUCGAGUGCAAAUGCUGCAGUCCUCCUUAUUUCACAAGUAAACUAUGGAGCGCCAGGUGUCUAAGUGACUUUGCUGGAGCCAUGUGGACAGUUGCUUGCUGCUUACCUGGAGAACAGCUGUCACCAGGGUCCACUAUGGGAAGAAGAUAAGCCAGCAGAGGCAAUGUUCUGCUGGAAAAUCUCUGGUCCUGGCACCAUGUGGAUGGGACAUGUACUGCCUACCUAUAACUUGUGCAGAAAGUUAACCCCUUCCCCCUCAUAGCAGUUGUGGCCUCGGUCAGCGGCAUAAUGACCCAGACUUGAUACAGAAAUGAGGAACAUGAGAUUAAGGUGAUGCCUUGUCUCCAAAUUCCCCAGAUCUCAACCUGACUGCCAUCUGUGGGAUGUAAUGGCAAAACAGGUCUGACUGGAUGAUGACCCUCAUGACUUAUCUGCUGCUAACUUCUGCCAGAUGCCGCAGGACACUUCAGAGGUCUUGUGAAGUCUUGAUAGGUUAGAGCUGGUUGGGUGGGAUGAGGGACCUACACAAUAUUAGGCAGGUAGUUUUAAUAUUUUUGGUGGUUGUAGUCUGGAUCUGGAAGAGCGGGUGAGUAUUAACCAUGCUACACCCCCCAUUUGUGGAUGGGAUAUGACGUAAGGCUGCUGGGUGAAGCGCAAUGCCAAGCCUCGGCUGUAAUGUCGGAAACUGGGUCCAAAAACUGAUGGUGUGUGUGCGUAGGCCCAAAGUCCCUCUCCCUUUUGCAUGUCCUGAUCCUAAAGACUGGUUCCCUGUAGCUGUGCAGAGGGGAAUCCGGACAGUACUGGUAUAUUACCUCUAAUGUAUAGAUCUGAGAUGUGCAGUAGGGUUUCCAUGUUAGACUGUAUUUCCUGGUCAAUAAAGUUGCUUUUUGUUUACAGAA